GCAGGAGAGGGAUGGAGGUUGUUUUUAGCUCCCAGUAAAAAUGAGACUCCUCCGACUGGCUUCCAGCACAACUUGGAAUAUGGACUCGACUUUGUAUUCCAAUGGUUCAGGAAUUUAGAAUUCCUUUCCCCUAUUAUUUGGAACAUGGUUGCUAGAAGGGUCCCUUUCUCCAGCAGUCUUCUGCACAAGGAUGCCAUAUCCAACAUCCCCUGACUCUGAACCUGAUAGAAGCUACUGGCAAGCAAGCAGCCAGUCUUUGCCCUGGCGAGGCCCCCUAUCGCGGUUAUAGCCGGAGCUGAGACCUGCAGGGCCCGAGAGCCCAGGAAGCUUCCGGAGAGUGCCCUCGAAGAGCCUGGCUGAGCCUGAGCCCAGGUCCCAGCCUCCGGCCUCCAGGGAAGCUGGCGAAGGCCUCCUUGCAAAAACCUCGGGAAUGCUCCCCCAUCGAUCGCCCGGGCUGCUGUUGCUGACCGAUGGAGUAGGAACGCAAGGCCGCCGCCAUCCGGUCGUGAUCAUAACCGAGGCCGUGUAUGCGCUCAGAUCCACAGCCCGCGACAGACGCCCCAGCGAACCCUUCCUUGUCAGAACACUAUCUCUACUUGAGAGUACAGAGAGAGAGAGAAAAAAAAUAAGACAGCCUCCACCCUGACUCUUCCCAAGCCAGCCCUAGCUAGGUCCCUCCAGAAGGAAGAGCUGGAGAGUAGAGGAAAUGGAGAUAGGGAGGGAAAUGGACAGAGAGAUCAAAGAAAAUAAACAAAAUUGAAGAAAAGGGAAGGAAAGAAGGGAUGAAGUAAAGAAAAGAGGGUAGAGAAGAAAGAGGAAAGAGGGAAGGAAAGAGUCCACAGCGACUCCUGGAGCGGAAAGCGGCUACAAGAGAGAAGGGUAAGUGACAAGGCCAGGAUGCCAGUCCCCGUCUGCCUUGUCCGUUCUAGUUGGUGCGGAGUGUUCACUGGCAAAGGGAUCUUUUCUUAUUUCCUGCCCUGGAUUGGGGCUGAUGCUGCCCUGGCUUUGCAGGAGAAUGGCGGGGUCCCUGGCCAGGCACGGGCCAGGAGCCCGAGAAGCUCGGGAUGGAAGUGUGCGCCCCUGACCUUGAAUGGCCCCGGGCCCAGAAUUCCUACCACGCCCCCGGCGUCCGCUAAGGCUCAGCUAACCUGACCGUACCUGCAGGGGCCAGGUGGAGAUGCGGGUGAGGCCAGCAGCCUGCCAGAGCUCUGAGAAGGAAGCAGGGACGAGGUUCUUGCGCGGGGAAAGCCGAGGUUGCCACCACAGGCCUGGCACGACCGGAGCCUGGAUGCCCAGCUCGGCCCGGCCUCCGCGCGCACAGGUACCUGGAGACGAUUUCAACUGAAGUAAUGAAGGCAGUGUCGUGCUGUCGAGAGAAAGGUGGAUCCCAACAACAGGAAACUACCUAAAUCACCGACCAGUUCUGGUGCUUGCCCGCCGCCGCCACCGCCGCCGCCGCCGCCGCCGCCGCCGCCGCCGCCGCCGCAGCCAAGGGAGAACCCUGCGAUCGCACCCGGCCCGGCCCCUCGCCAACCUGCGCCCGCCGCUGCCAGUGUCCGGGGCUGCCGCUAAGGCAUUACCGAGGGAGAAGCCACCGGCCCCUGUAAGGUUUGACCCUUUUAUGCAUGUAACUUCACAGUAUAAAGGAAACCAAACAAUGUCUCCCUCUCUAGUCUGUUCCGCUUGCCCCAGCCCUCCUCGGCUUCCAUGAAUUUUGGAAAGAAAAAAAAAAAAGGAAGAAAUAAAAAGGGGGGGGGGACAAACCUCCACAAGAUAGGGAGAGUUGUGGUGUGCUUGUCUUGUGUUACCAGUGGUAACGAUUACUUUAUGACAAAAAUCCACUAAAUCCACAUGUAUAAACAGAACUACAUCAGAUUAUUUAUCUAUAGCCAGAGGAUAUGGAAAUUCAGAGGAAAGGGAAAUAAUUUAGUCCCACAAUGCAAGACCUUACACAAACUGGAAGAGGAGUUUCCUUAUCCUGGUCUUUUUUUUUUUUCCCCCCUUCUUUUUCUUUCUUUCUUUUAAAGCUGGGAUAUCUUACAGAGGAAGGAAAAUUUCAUCUUCCUGACUCCCUCCAUGUUCCAAUCAGCCAAAGUCAAGCCCUUUUGUCAACCUGUAUGCCCAUGCCCAUAAGCCCUUCUCUUUGCCAAGGAAGAAAGGAAGAAAGAGAAAAGAAUCCCAGGGCCUGUAUCCCCUGAUUAAACACAGCCCAACACUUCAGGCCUGGGGGCCCGCUGGUGGCUCCUUGCACCAUUGACCUCAGGCCAGACACCUCAGCGCCUACAAUGGGACCUGGCCUUCCGGCUGGGUUUGCCCGGCCCCCCGCAGGAAACCAGCUCCACCGGGAGCACAGGGGCCAUUUUGAGCAGUGGAGUCAUCCAGACGACAAACCAUCCCAGUUCGCACUUGACACUUAGGACAAUCUUUAUCUACAUAGGAUUUUAGAGCGAUAUGGCUUUUCCCCCAGAACACAACAACAAAAAACCAGCACCUAGCAAACAGACAAAGAAACAAAACGUCAGAACAAACCAGCCCUGCACUGAUGUAAUGGCCAGCGAAAUGGCGAGUGUGGGAGGGAGGAACGGGCGCCCGCACAGGUGCGAGUUCCUGGGAAGAGGCUGAAGACAGAGGGAGGAGAAUGGCUCUCUGGAAGCAGGGGGAGAAACAAACAAAAACAAAACGCAUUGCCUGGAGCUUCAUCAGGAAAAAUUAAAGUUGGCUGUCAGCUCCCGGAUCCGGUUUUCUCGGUUCAUUUUCUUCAGUUUCAUCCUGCGGUUCUGAAACCAGAUUUUAACUUGUCUGUCCGUGAGGUGGACGCUGCGGCUGAUCUCGAGGCGCCGCUCUCGAGUAAGGUACAUGUUGAACAGAAACUCCUUCUCCAGCUCCAGCGUCUGGUGCUUCGUGUAGGGGCAGCGCUUCUUCCGGCCGCUCUUUGCCGUGAGCCAGUUGGCUGCGUUUUCGCCUUUGGUAUUGCCUGGCAUUUUAAGGGAAUAAAGAGAAGGUUAAAGCGAGGCAAUGCGGGCUGACUACCGGGGUGAAUUUGGGCCUCCUCUGCCACAAGAGGGAUGCCCUAAGUCACACACAGAGAGGUGUGCUCCCCGCUCCCCGUUAGCUUGCUUGCCCAGGAAGAGCAGUUCCUCCAAAAGGAACGUGCAAAAUCCAGUGGGCCCCCAAUCUUCACCCACCCUCCCAGUUCACAUUUCCAUCCACUUCUUUCCAAACACCUGUUUUAGCACAAAGCUGCCAGGUGCUUGCAGAACGAAGGGCCUGGGAGGACAGGCCUGUAUACCUUGAACUUAAUGCCUUAUUUUUUCCUUUGAGUUGUGCCCCAAGACAUACAAGCAUUUCCUGUAGCCCCCCAGCCUGGGGUCUGGGGUGCUUACUUGGUAGGGGGGUGGGCAGCAUAGCUGUGUCUCACUGCAGCCCCCUCCUUGCCCAAGGCCUGGCGAGGAGAGGAAGAUGGACAUAGUUGGGACUUGGGGAAGGCA